GCUCUCCUGCCUUUUAGAAGGGGGUUGGACUAGCUGACCUUUGGGGGUCUCUUUCCAACUAUGCGAACCUUUGAUCUUGCGCAUGCAUGUGUUUGCAAGGCUAUAGAGCACUCAGGAUCUGACCCAUGGGUAAGGAAAGGCGUAUUUCUUGCAGGUGGCUGCCACCUUGAACAACUUGGCCGUCCUCUAUGGCAAAAGGGGAAAGUAUAAGGAAGCCGAGCCGCUGUGCAAAAGGGCCCUGGAGAUCCGGGAGAAGGUCUUGGGCACGGACCACCCGGACGUGGCCAAGCAGCUCAACAACUUGGCUCUCUUGUGCCAGAACCAGGGCAAGUUCGACGAAGUGGAGCAGUACUACCAGCGCG